UAAUACGGAGGGUGCAAGCGUUAGUCGGAAUUACUGGGCGUAAAGGGUGCGUAGGCGGGGAUGUAAGUCAGAUGUGAAAUACCGUAGCUCAACUACGGCCGUGCAUCUGAAACUGCGUUUCUAGAGGGAUAGCGGAGAAAACGGAAUUCCAUGUGUAGCGGUGAAAUGCGUAGAUAUAUGGAAGAACACCUGUGGCGAAAGCGGUUUUCUAGCUCGACCCUGACGCUGAGGCACGAAAGCAAGGGGAGCAAACAGG
rnacentral:rRNA from 1 species